AACCUUCCACGGUUUCUGCGACGCAGCUAACGCACUAAGCGCCCCGCCUGGGGAGUACGAUCGCAAGAUUAAAACUCAAAGGAAUUGACGGGGCCCCGCACAAGCAGCGGAGCAUGCGGCUUAAUUCGACGCAACGCGAAGAACCUUACCAAGGCUUGACAUAUACAGGAAUAUGGCAGAGAUGUCAUAGCGGUAAAACGUCUGUAUACAGGUGGUGCAUGGUUGUCGUCAGCUCGUGUCGUGAGAUGUUGGGUUAAGUCCCGCAACGAGCGCAACCCUCGUUCUGUGUUGCCAGCAUUUAGUUGGGGACUCACAGGAGACUGCCGGGGUUAACUCGGAGGAAGGUGGGGAUGACGUCAAAUCAUCAUGCCCCUUAUGUCUUGGGCUGCACGCAUGCUACAAUGGCUGGUACAAAGGGCUGCAAUACUGCAAAGUGGAGCGAAUCCCAAAAAGCCAGUCUCAGUUCGGAUUGGGGUCUGCAACUCGACCCCAUGAAGUCGGAGUUGCUAGUAAUCGUAGAUCAGCAACGCUACGGUGAAUACGUUCCCGGGGCUUGUACACACCGCCCGUCACAUCACGAAAGUCGGUAACACCCAAA
rnacentral:rRNA from 1 species